AAGAGCUAUUGGAGAAGUUGAAUCUGAAACUGAGCUUUAACAAAGUGAAUAAGACUAUCCCUGUGUGCUGACCAAAAUCCAUCAAGGGAAAAAGAAGGUGCCAAAGCCACAGCUAAUAUUCAAGUCAACAGUCCAACAUUUUGCUGAAUCUGUAAGCAGCAGAUCUCUGAAGGGAUAAGUGAGCAGAACAUGAGCCUUACAUAAAUAUCAGAUCGCUGCAAUGAGAGAUAAAAACUUGUGUUGCAGAAUGCAACUUUGCUUGCCUCAAGUAGAUUCCUAUAAAAAUAGAGAAGAGGAAAGGAGACGGUACAGUUACGGGAUUUAUCAUGUCUGCUGGUGUCACCAAAUUGGAUGAGGUUUGGCAGAAAGCCCUCUGAGCUCAAUUGUUUUCCAAACACAGAAUCUUUUAUUGGUACUACUAUCAUUGCCUCUUUCUACAAGAAUGUGACCUACACCUCCAAACCUCACCAUUGUCAAGCAGGGUAAGUUUCUGCAAUAGUCUCUUUUUCCUCAAUCAAGGCAUCAUGGUAUUUCAACUUGUUAUUAACUUCAUCUUAAACUAAUUGAGUCCUUUUGUGAACAUUCUUCAGACACUUCAUAUUGAGUCUGACAAUACACUUCAACAUGUCCCAGCCUAUACACUUAUCAACACUUCCAUUUUAAGGUGCCUUGGCUGAAGUCACAGCUUCACUGCUAACUCAAUCCUCAUUACUAAACAGAGUUUUGAAAGAAAGCUCUUCCCAGUAGUCACCUCUCAUCUGCAGGUGUUUUUUUUCCCUUUGGAAAAAAUUACCUUUUCCACAACUACUCUCUCUCUGUUAAAAAUUGUUCCAAGCAGCUAAAUGAGGAGAGAAAACUCACAAAACACUAAAGAGAGAGGAAAAGGCAGAAAAAGAUAAGCUCUGGAAACCUUCUAGAAGCAAGUCUGGGAACUCAUGAAAGUGUGUGACAUGGGUAAACAGCUGAAGAAAACAUGGGAGAGGUGGGUUCUUUUUUGUUAGUUUGUUGGGGAGGUUGGAGGUGGUUUCUAUUUUGUUUGCUUUUUCCUGCAUCUGCUUAGCACCAUGAAUCUUGUACAUGCAGAGGACACACUGUGGGGAGACACAGAAAACUGUUCCUGCUCACUGCCUAGCCUUCCAGAGACAGACUGUGACUUCCCAGAGCUCAAAUUUCACAUGGGUGAGGUAAUUUUAGGUGUAGACACACAAUAAAUCAGUGUGUGCUUUAGAGUUCCUCUGUGAGUUGAGAUGUCCGUGCCAGUGCAGCCUUUGUCACUCAGCCUCACAGACCAGAUAUUCAACCUGCUGGUUCCUUUAUGUACUUGUGAAGUUGCACUAACUAAUUACAGGUUAAUUAUACCUGCCCACAUCCAGCAGUGCAAACACUUGCACCCACCCUUCACUUGCUCUUCAACACUACCAGUACA